rnacentral:rRNA from 1 species
CAAUGAGUUAUGCUUGAUCCAGCAAUGUCGCGUGAAUGAUGAAGGUGAAGUCCGUAAAGUUCUUUCGUUGGGGAUGAUUGUGACGGUACCCAAAUUAAGAAGCCCCGGCAAACUUCGUGCCAGCAGCCGCGGUAAAACGGGGGGGGCAAGUGUUAUUCAACCUAACUGGGCGUAAAGGGCAUGUAGGCGGUUUGUUGGGUUCUAGAUAAAAUCCUCGGGCUCAACCUGAGAAAGAUCUUUUAGACCAAUUGACUAGAGUUUAGUUGAGUAAGAUGGUACACUCAAUGUAGAGGUGAAAUUCGCAAAAAUUGUGGGGACCACCGACCGGCGAAGGCGAUCUUACAACUAUGAACUGACGCUAAGGUGACAAAAGCGUAGGGAGCAAGCGAGAUUAGAGACCUCGUUAGUCUACGCCCUGACCGAUGAGUAUUAAAUGUAAUUAAUUUUUUAAUAAUU